rnacentral:rRNA from 1 species
UACGAGGGGGGCAAGCGUUGUUCGGAUUUAUUGGGCGUAAAGGGUGCGUAGGCGGUUUUCCAAGUUUGGGGUGAAAUCUCCCGGCUCAACUGGGAGGGUGCGCCGAAAACUGGAGGACUGGAGUACCGGAGAGGUAAGCGGAAUUCCUGGUGUAGCGGUGAAAUGCGUAGAGAUCAGGAGGAACACCUGUGGUGUAGACAGCUUACUGGACGGUGACUGACGCUGAGGCACGAAAGCGUGGGUAGCAAACAGG